rnacentral:rRNA from 1 species
UUCGGAAGAAGUAACCCGGCGGACGGCUCAGUAACACGUGGAUAACUUGCCCUUGGGUCCGGGAUAACCCCUGAGAAAUUGGGGACAAUACCGGAUAGGGCAUCGAUAGCUGGAAUGCGCGAUGUCCAAAAGCUGAGGCGCCCAAGGAUAGGUCUGCGGCCGAUUAGGUUGUUGUUGAUGUAAUGGAUCAACAAGCCUGCAAUCGGUACGGGUUGUGAGAGCAAGAGCCCGGAGAUGGGUUCUGAGAAAAGAACCCAGGUCCUACGGGACGCAUCAGGCGCGAAAACUUUACAAUGUGCGAAUGCACGAUAAGGGAACUCUGAGUGCCUCCUAUGGAGGCUGUUCAGGUGUCUAAAAAGCACUUGAAGUAAGGGCUGGGUAAGACCGGUGCCAGCCGCCGCGGUAACACCGGCAGCCCAAGUGGUAGCCACGAUUAUUGGGUCUAAAGCGUCCGUAACCGGCCAGGUAAGUUCUUUGGGAAAUUUAACCGCUCAACGGUUAAGCUUUCAGGGAAUACUGCUUGGCUUGGGACCGGGAGAGGUCAGAGGUACUUCAAGGGUAGGGGUGAAAUCCGUUAAUCCUUGAGGGACCACCA